rnacentral:misc_RNA from 1 species
UAGCUAUGGAGUUGGGAAGGAUUUG